rnacentral:rRNA from 1 species
GAUGAACGCUGGCGGCAUGCCUAAUACAUGCAAGUCGUGCGGAAAGGCCCCUUCGGGGGUACUCGAGCGGCGGACGGCAGAGUAACGCGUAGGAAUGUACCCCAAAGUGAGGAAUAACUGCCCGAAAGGGUAGCUAAUGCCGCAUGUGCUCUUCGGAGUAAAGCUAUAUGCGCUUUGGGAACAGCCUGCGUUCGAUUAGCUAGUUGGUGAGGUAAAGGCUCACCAAGGCGACGAUCGAUAGCUGGUCUGAGAGGAUGAUCAGCCUGACUGGAACUGAGACACGGUCCAGACUCCUACGGGUGGCUG